UUGUAAGUGUUUUAGGGCGUUCGGUGGAUGCCUUGGUACCAGGAGCCGAUGAAGGACGUGGUAGGCCGCGAUAGUCCUCGGGGAGUUGUCAAACGAGCUGUGAUCCGAGGGUGUCCGAAUGGGGAAACCCAGCACGAGUGAUGUCGUGUUACCACCCAGUGAAUGUAUAGCUGGUGUGGGGGGAACGUGGGGAAGUGAAACAUCUCAGUACCCAUAGGAAGAGAAAACAAUUGUGAUUCCGUGAGUAGUGGCGAGCGAAAGCGGAGGAGGCUAAACCAUGCGCAUGUGAUACCGGGUAGGGGUUGUGUGUGUGGUGUUGUGGGGCCUGUCUUCCCGGAUCUACCUGUCUGGGCGUGAGUGAUAAAACCGUGGGUUAGGUGAAGUGGCCUGGAAUGGUCUGCCGUAGUCGGUGAGAGUCCGGUAGCUGAAAGCCUGUGGUCUUGCGUGAUGGGUGCCCAAGUAGCAGCGGGCUCGUGGAAUCUGCUGUGAAUCUGCCGGGACCACCCGGUAAGCCUGAAUACUUCCUGGUGACCGAUAGCGGACGAGUACCGUGAGGGAAAGGUGAAAAGUACCCCGGGAGGGGAGUGAAAUAGUACCUGAAACCGGACGCUUACAAUCCGUCAAAGCCUGUGGGUUCUUUAGUGGACCGUGGGUGAUGGCGUGCCUUUUGAAGAAUGAGCCUGCGAGUUAGUGCUCGGUGGCGAGGUUAACCCGUGUGGGGUAGCCGUAGCGAAAGCGAGUCUGAAUAGGGCGUUGAGUCGCUGGGUCUAGACCCGAAGCGGAGUGAUCUACCCAUGGCCAGGGUGAAGCGUCGGUAAGACGUCGUGGAGGCCCGAACCCACUUCAGUUGAAAAUGGAGGGGAUGAGUUGUGGGUAGGGGUGAAAGGCCAAUCAAACUCCGUGAUAGCUGGUUCUCCCCGAAAUGCAUUUAGGUGCAGCGUGGUGUGUUUCUUACUGGAGGUAGAGCUACUGGAUGGCCGAUGGGCCCUACUAGGUUACUGACGUCAGCCAAACUCCGAAUGCCGGUAAGUGAGAGCACUGCAGUGAGACUGCGGGCGAUAAGGUUCGUAGUCGAGAGGGAAACAGCCCAGAUCGCCGGCUAAGGCCCCUAAGCGUGUACUAAGUGGAAAAGGAUGUGGGGUCGCGAAGACAACCAGGAGGUUGGCUUAGAAGCAGCCACCCUUGAAAGAGUGCGUAAUAGCUCACUGGUCAAGUGAUCCUGCGCCGACAAUGUAGCGGGGCUCAAGUACACCGCCGAAGCCGCGGCACUCACACGUUAGCUUGUCAUCGCCUUGCGGGGUGGUGGCUAGGUGUGUGGGUGGGUAGGGGAGCGUCCUGCAUCCGUGGAAGCCACAGAGUGAUCUAGUGGUGGAGGGUGUGGGAGUGAGAAUGCAGGCAUGAGUAGCGAAAGCAGAGUGAGAAACUCUGCCGCCGGAUGACCAAGGGUUCCUGGGCCAGGCUAAUCCGCCCAGGGUGAGUCGGGACCUAAGGCGAGGCCGACAGGCGUAGUCGAUGGACAACGGGUUGAUAUUCCCGUACCCGUGUAUCCGCGCCCAUGCUGAAUCAACUGUACUAACCAUCCAAAACCAGAUGGAUCACCUUCGGGUGACCGGAUGGGGCUGCAUGGGACCUUGGUUGGUAGUAGGCAAGCGAUGGGGUGACGCAGGAAGGUAGUGGGGCCAGUCAGUGGUUGUACUGGUGUAAGCCUGUAGG
rnacentral:rRNA from 1 species